rnacentral:rRNA from 1 species
AUUGAACGCUGGCGGCAGGCUUAACACAUGCAAGUCGAACGAUGAAACUCUAGCUUGCUAGAGAUGAUUAGUGGCGGACGGGUGAGUAACAUUUAGGAAUCUGCCUAGUAGUGGGGGAUGGGCUCGGGGAAACUCGAAUUAAUGCCGCAUACGACCUACGGGUGAAAGGGGGCGCAAGCUCUUGCUAUUAGAUGAGCCUAAAUCAGAUUAGCUAGUUGGUGGGGUAAAGGCCCACCAAGGCGACGAUCUGUAACUGGUCUGAGAGGAUGAUCAGUCACACCGGAACUGAGACACGGUCCGGACUCCUACGGGAGGCAGCAGUGGGGAAUAUUGGACAAUGGGGGGCAACCCUGAUCCAGCCAUGCCGCGUGUGUGAAGAAGGCCUUUUGGUUGUAAAGCACUUUAAGCAGGGAGGAGAGGCUAAUGGUUAAUACCCAUUAGAUUAGACGUUACCUGCAGAAUAAGCACCGGCUAACUCUGUG